CUCUACAGAACUCAAAUAAAAUAACAACUCCCUUAACUUUAAUGCAAAUUAAGAAACAAAUAUAUAAGAUUUAAAAUGUUGAAAAUAUAAGAGCAAGCCAAAAAAAAUUAUUAACACUUAACAAAAUAUACAAAUCAAAACUAUUGUACACUUGCUAACAUUAUCAAUAAUAAUAAAAAAUCACUUGACACCAAAUAAAGCACACCAGCAAGUGCUCUGUAAUCUUAAUAAACUAAUGUAUGCCCGUGCUGCUUGAAGGUAUGGUGUAAAUAAUAUUUUUUUUUGAAUAAUUUUCAUUUAUCAUUCUCUCUUAAUCUAGGAACAUUGACAAUCAAAUAUACCUGAAAUUCUGUUUAUCUAUGACACACAAAAUGAAUAGAUAGCAUGCAUUUGAGCAAGAGGAUCCCUUUUAUUAUAGAUACAACUUCAAAAUAAGAGGAAUAACAAAAUGGUGCUUUCCUUUUGGGACACCCCAUGCCAAUACGAAAAUGGUGUUCUUGAUCAAAAUCCAAAUAGCAGACAAUUCCAAAUGUCUACAUCUCAAUCCAAAUCAAAUCAAAUCAAAUGUAUAUCUAUAUAAUAAAACAGAACGGCUUUUGAAAAUAUAUAAAAUGUAUCAGAGAUACAUUUCAUUUUAAGGGCUCAAAUUAAUUGUGAUAAACAUCAAUGGUUGAGAUGAUGUUUUAAUUCCCGCUCAAACACUCGGUGCUCUCUCCCUCUCCCACUUACUCUCGUCUCCUCCUCAUUCCGUCUUUAUCUCUCUCUCUCUCUCUAUUGCACGUCUCUUCUUAUUCCCUCCUUAUCUCUAUCUCUCUCUUUGUUCCUCUCCUUUAUCUCUAGCUCCUGACGCUACCUCUCUUCUUCUCUUUCACCCGAUUUCUGCCUCUCCCUUUCUCUCUCAGUGGCUUCAAUUCGCAGCCCUCCCACUCGCUUUUUGAAGGCUAGGGUUUUCGAUUAAGAACCGCGAAACCGAGUUGGCUCCUCCCACCACCACAGCUGCCGCCGUUGUUUUUUCUUUCUCUCUCUGCUUCGAACCCCGAUUGGAGCUCUCCGGUUGCUAACUCACUGGCUAUGGCUAUUGCAUCUGCUGCUAAUUUAUCAUAGAAGCAGCUUACAGAGCUACUUCAGAGCUACACCAAACAUGAAGCUUCUAUUUAUGCAAGGUAUUUUACAUUCAGUUCUUCAGUUCUUUGUCUGUCUUGAUCGCUAUUUUACGUUGAAUUUCCUUCGGCUCCCUGCAAUUCAAACCUCAAAACAGAGGUAUUAUACAUUGUCUCUUUAUUUCUUCAAUUCUUUCUUCAGUUCUUUGAGAAUCCUGUGGCUUCAGUUUUAGGGCUAAAUUUUGAAUCAAUCAGAUAAGAAGCUGAAAACUCUUGCAAAGAGAAAUCUGUGGCGCCAGUGUGCAGUCAAAUAACACUUUCUGCAGUUCAAGCUAUUAGUUUUAUCCAAGCUACUUGAUGCUCUUCAAGGCACUAGCAGAGAACCAAGUCUCAGAGUUAAUUUGGAGCCCCUUCCUUAACAAUAGCUGAAAGUCAAUGAUGAUGCUUUUUUAUUUCGAAGAAGGAUAUGGGGGCUUCUGGUAUGAUAAUUCCUAAUCAUAGGGCCUGGUGGUCUCAUGAAAACAUUAUACCUUCACAUAUGGAUCAGCUAUAGAAGUUGGAGCUCUUAGGGAGGUAGUUUAGUUUUGAUUAAUACAGAACAUUAGAAACUGAAAUUAAUAUUACUUUCAAAAUGUGAACAAAAUUAAUUUUCAAUUAGAUGAGGCGAUGUAAAUAAAAAUAAGAAAUGAUAUGUUUGGAUAAUAAUUUAUAAAUGAUGAUAUUUAAAAAAUAUAAGUUGAUUAAAAAAAUAAUUUAAUAAUUUAAUAUUAUUAUAUUUAAUAAUAUUUAAAUCACAUUAUGGAAAUUUCUUAGUUUGGUUAUUGCUAAUGGUUUGCUUCGAAUUCAUAACUCUUAACUUAAACCCUUCAAUAGAUAAGCCAAUUAAGUUGCUUUGAAUCCUAAUUCUUAACUUAAACCUAUUGAUAUACGAGCUUAUUUAGCUACUCUGGUUUGGUUCCUCUCCAUUUGUGGCAAGAAAUGGGGAUCUCAAUUUCAAUGUAACAGGUUGCAACAUAUCAUCAAAACCCAAUAUUAUAAGUCCAAGGACAACCACUUUCUGAUGGAGCCCACCAUAGAACAAACAAUCCAAACUUUUUCUUGGCCUUCUCAAUGGAACAGAAAACAUCUGAUUUGGCUUAUUUAGUUGCUCUUAUUUAGGAGUCGUUUGGUUUUGGCUUUGGCUUUGGCUUUCUUAGUUGGCUUUUUAGUUUUUUUUGACUUUUUUAGCCCGAGACUUUUUUAGUCGUUUGGUAUUCUUGUUUGACUUUUUGGCUUUAGAAUGACAAA